rnacentral:rRNA from 1 species
AACGAACGUUCGCGGCGCGCCUAACACAUGCAAGUCGAGCGCGAAAGGGGUAGCCCGAGUAGAGCGGCGCACGGGUGCGUAACACGUGGGUAAUCUGCCCAGAAGUCUCGGAUAACCUGCCGAAAGGCUGGCUAAUACGGGAUAAGCCUACGGUCUCUUCGGAGACAGUAGGAAAAGGUGGCCUCUGUUUACAAGCUACCACUUCUGGUUGAGCCCGCGGCCCAUCAGCUAGUUGGCGGGGUAAUGGCCCACAAAGGCAACGACGGGUAGCUGGUCUGAGAGGACGAUCAGCCACACUGGAACUGAGACACGGUCCAGACUCCUACGGGAGGCAGCAGUGGGGAAUUUUGCGCAAUGGGCGAAAGCCUGACGCAGCAACGCCGCGUGUGUGAUGAAGGUCUUCGGAUUGUAAAGCACUUUCGACCGGGACGAAACUCUGGGUGCUAAUCAACCCAGCCUGACGGUACCGGGAGAAGAAGCACCGGCAAACUCUGUGCCAGCAGCCGCCGUAAAAC